rnacentral:rRNA from 1 species
CGGAGGAUCCAAGCGUUAUCCGGAAUCAUUGGGUUUAAAGGGUCCGUAGGCGGUUUAAUAAGUCAGUGGUGAAAUCUGGUCGCUCAACGAUCAAACGGCCAUUGAUACUGUUAGACUUGAAUUAUUGGGAAGUAACUAGAAUAUGUAGUGUAGCGGUGAAAUGCUUAGAUAUUACAUGGAAUACCAAUUGCGAAGGCAGGUUACUACCAGUGGAUUGACGCUGAUGGACGAAAGCGUGGGGAGCGAACAGGAUUAGAUACCCUGGUAGUCCACGCCGUAAACGAUGGAUACUAGCUGUUCGGAGCAAUCUGAGUGGCUAAGCGAAAGUGAUAAGUAUCCCACCUGGGGAUACGUUCGCAAGAAUG